rnacentral:lncRNA from 1 species
CCUGCUCAACAUAUUGUCUCAACUGAAGAUCUUGAAUAGCAGCACUUACACCUUCUCCAACAGACUGGUUGUGGAGGUUGCAGUUUGCAAUACGUAUAGUACCCAUCUUUAUAUUGGUGGCACAGCCAUGUUCUACCACAUACAGAUCUGCACCAUCCAUGGCUAAGCGUGUCAUUGUGUACUUUAAGUCAUCAGAUGUUGGGCAUGGCCCAGGGACACAGUUCAUCUUAGAGUCACAAAAACGACGGUCAAUUCCAUGCUGGCAUAUUAUUACAGAUUUUGGUCUUUCCAGUUCAAACUCACGGCACACUACAUGAAACACAAAGGUCUG